rnacentral:lncRNA from 1 species
CUCCGUUAUUUGUUACUGUAGGGUAUAUUAUGCGAUCCUACUGAUUUCCACGGGAUUGGCUACCCUGCUGACAAGUAACAUGAGGGGAACUAAAUUCCCGGGCCAAUAGGAAUUUUUUUUGACUAGGUCAGCUGAGGGCACAGGUUUAAAAAUACUUCCAGGCUCAUGGGCGGGUGGGCUCUUGGAGGUGUUGGAGCCGCUUAGUAAAGCCUCUGGAGCGCCGCCGGAUGAAAUCGUCUCCUGCCCACAUUGUUCUCUCUGAGCCCCGCGAGCGAUCCAUCCGCGGAGGGGUCAGGCACGGUUCUGCGGCACGAUGGGGGAAGGGCUGCCCUGCCCAGGCUGCUCCCUCCCGCCUGCUUUGGAAAGCUUGGUGUGUAGUAGGAGAAAACAUUGCACUUUGAGAAAGAAACCCUGGAAUCAAGUCCUGGUCCUGCCACAUAUCAGCUGUGCAUCCUGCAGCAAGUCUCUUCCUCUCUUCAGGUUUCAGUUUCAUCAUCUAUAAAAUGGGGAUAAAGCUCUUUCAGCACUACCUUAAUGCCUUCCUCCAGUGCCUCUUUAUUGUAUGGAGGUGUCCUGGGCAUUUGAAGGUUAUGCCAGCAAACCACAACAACUCUGGCAAGUUCUACCAUGUUGUAAAGGCUUAGAAUAGGAACUAGUGAUGGAUUGUAUCUGUUAUCCAGGGACUAAGCUAACUAAAUUCUAUUCAUCUGUAGAAGUUGGGCCACAAGAGAAUGAAGCUUUUGGAGACAGUAACUCAUAAAGAAGUUUGCUAAAGUGUAGAAAAGCCAUGAUCUAAAUCAGUGAAGGAAAGACCUACACUAAUAAUAAUUAUAACAGUAAUAAUAAUUAGCAUGUAUAUAAUGCUUUAAUGUUUGCAAAGCUCUGUAUAGCUAUUAUCUCAUUUGAUCUUCACAUAAGUUCCAGGAAGUAGGUGUUAUUACUAUCCUCAUUUUGUUGAUAAGAUAAUCAGGACAAACAGGUUUGCAUAGUUGUCCAGGGUUACAUGACUAUUAAGUGUCUGAGGCUGCAUUUGAACUCAGGUUUUGACUCCAUGUCUGGUGCUUUAUCUACUGUGCCAUGUAGCUACCUCAAGGAAUUCUCAGUCCUUGAUGUACUGAAGUAAAUCAUACAUACCCCAUCUACCAAAUGAGAUGGUAAAAGUACUUUGUAACCAGAGAGCAUUUGUCCACUCUACAUAUACUCUACUUAUUAAUGCGAAACGUAGAAUGGCAGAAAGGAAGAGAAACAGAUCCAGCGAACAAACAGAGGAGCAAGUGAACAGCCCAAAAGGAGGGAGAAAGAAGAAAAAUAUUAGUAAACAACAAUAAAAAAGGAAAUUACAAUUGAAAGCUUCUAUUC